AUGAUUACCCUGAACGGUGGAUCACUUGGCUCGUGGAUCGAUGAAGAACGCAGCUAAUUGCGCGUCAACUUGUGAACUGCAGGACACAUGAACAUCGACAUUUCGAACGCACAUUGCGGUCCACGGAUCUCGUUCCCGGACCACGCCUGGCUGAGGGUCGUUUAUAAAA
rnacentral:rRNA from 1 species